GAUGAAGAACGCAGUGAAAUGCGAUAAGUAAUGUGAAUUGCAGAAUUCAGUGAAUCAUCGAAUCUUUGAACGCACAUUGCGCCCUUUGGUAUUCCGAAGGGCAUGCCUGUUCGAGCGUCAUUACAACCCUCAAGCUCCGCUUGGUAUUGGGCACCGUCCGCCUCGGCGGACGCGCCUCGAAGACCUCGGCGGCGGCGUCAAGCCCUCAAGCGUAGUAGAAUCUAUCUCGCUUUGGAGGCGCUGGGCGUCGCCCGCCGGACGAACCUUCUGAACCCACUUCUCAAGGUUGACCUCGGAUCAGGUAGGAAUACCCGCUGAACUUAAGCAUAUCAAUAAGCGGAGGA
rnacentral:misc_RNA from 1 species